AUUGAACGCUGGCGGCAGGCCUAACACAUGCAAGUCGAGCGAGCGUCGCACAGGGGAGUAUUGUGUGGGAAACUGCCUGUUGGAGGGGGAUAACUACUGGAAACGGUAGCUAAUAUCGCAUACCAUCAGAUAUGCCCAGAGUGGAUUAGCUAUUAGGUGGGGUAACGGCGCACCUAGGCGACGCUCCCUAGCUGGUCUGUGAGGAGGACCAGCCACACUGGAACUGAGACACGGUCCAGACUCCUACGGGAGGCAGCAGGUGGGAAUAUUGCACAAUGGGCGCAAGCCUGAUGCAGCCAUGCCGCGUGUGUGAAGAAGGCCUUCGGGUUGUAAAGCACUUUCAGCGGGGAGGCGUUACCCGCAGAAGAAGCACCGGCUAACUCCGUGCCAGCAGCCGCGGUAAUAC
rnacentral:rRNA from 1 species